UUGGUGGUUUGUCUCAUUGUCUGGACAGUUCGGACAAACUCAAACAUGAUGGCGAGAUAAAGAAAAUGCUGCAGAGUCAAACUUCAACACGGCAGAGGCCAUCUUUAGCUUCAGUUCCUCUGGAGUCGCGUCUGUUCCCAACCGUGUCUCUUUCAUCCAGCGGAGACGCCUUCAGACGAACUCACCUGGAGUCCCACUAACCUGGAGCUACGCAAUUUGACUGAACAGAACUGAACUGAAGAACAUGAACAUCUUGCGCGGCGAUGGGUUGAUGACCACAUGAAUCCCAACUCAAAGUCCAAGACGUUUUUGAAGAGGGUUGAAUCACACUAGCUGCCUCUUUAUGGACCAGCCUCCCGUCCUUUUUUUGACACCACCUUCCCCUGGGUGGCCUUUGUUCAACUCUCGGGGUUGAGUCCAAGGAAGCGCCUAAAAUGUAAUAACAGAGGAAGCCUGUAAGAUCUCAGGUGUGGUGGGUUAGGGUUAUUUGCACUUAAUACAGAACCACAUCACAUUUACUAAAUAAACAUUCAAAUAUGUUUUCUCAUGAAAAUGACCUCUGUGUCUUAUAAUCAUGAGAAUAUAUAUUACAUAACUUGUAGAAGUUAUUCUAUAAUAAUGAGCAACUAAAUAUCAUUACAACAGACACGUUGUUAACAUUAUGACAGCAUUUGAGUUGUUUACUUCAAAUUCAUUUUGAACCAUUAGGUUCAAGCAGUGUUAAUCAGACAGCUUUUUGGUCUUUGGUCUUACUAAAGUACAAACAUAAAAAUACCAACAACAAUGCCAUUCUUCAAUUAUUUUAGAACGGUAUUUGCAUCUAAAAUAAAUAUAAUAUAAAUAAUGUUCUGACCUCAAAUGAUAAUGCCAUAUACAUUAACCAAAGGUACCAAUGGAUCCCAAUUAGUCACAUCGAGGAAGAAAUAAAAGCAAAUUAAACAACUGGUACGACACUGGUAACAGGGUUUAGCUAGCCUACUAGCUAACGAUAACGUGGCUACAAAACAUUAGGGUGCAUGCUUGAAAAAAACAACAACCAGUUAAUACAAUGCAAAUUCAACCCACAAUAACAAAUCAGGGUCCAGCUGGAUUUGAUAGGAACACAUUUACCUUGUUAAAUUACCUUUAGGAGCAGUACGGCUGAGGAUGUGCCAUGUGUAGUAUGUGAGUAGGCGAUGCGCAUCAUCAACUUCACAAUCGGGGCAAAAGUUCUCUAAUUUCUCUCUUUCUCUUCUUAUUUUUUUUGUACUUCUUUGUAUUAAAUCUGCUUGCUGUUUGGUUUGUUCUCGUUUGGCUAUGUCAGUGGAUUGCUUACCGCUGUUCUGUGUUUGCCUGUUCCUGUUUUUGGGGUUCCUACCUGCUCCUGGUUUUUUGUAUUUUGCCUGUUCCAGUUUUUGGAUUUUGCCAUUACACCUUUGAACACUACACUGCCUGCUGCCUCUGCAAUUGGGUCCACCACAUUCUCUGGAAGACCGUAACAGUGUAACAUUAUAUUUUUCCGAUUACUCUCUUCAUGAAGUGGUGUGGACUUGAUGCCACAUGAUUUUUAAAGAGCUGUGGGCGGACUCAACCUGGCUACUGAAAAAGAAAAAAGUACUGUAGUAUACCGUAAAAUUGCACAGUAGCUUGCUGUUAAUAUUUUGUUCCUCAAAUGCCUCAAUAUUUACAGUAUUCCACUGUAUUUAGGAAAAAUUACUGUAAGAAAAAUCCUGUAUUUCUACGGUAGUUUGUUACAGUGAACGUAUCCCUAAAUAUUAAGUGAUAAACCUUCAGAGCUCUGGUUUUCUCACCAAAGGAACAUUUGCUCCUUUGCAGGCUCAGAAAAUUCACCAAAACCGGAAUGUAAUUAAAAUAUAGUCGUACCCUUUAGAAAACACAGAUCGGUCAGACUAAAGAGAUGUCUGUGUUUCGGUAUUUGUGUAAAUUAAACAUUUUAUCCGUACAAGAGUUUCACCAAGCAGCGGUAUGCUUCAUAUAGUGUCCUAUUGUAUUAAAAAAUACUGAUUUAGAUUUACUAAAAGACAUUCUCCCAGUCUUGCCGCUGCCUCCACCCCUGGUUGU